UCUUUACAUACCUUUCUUUAUUCCUCACAUAUUGCUGUAUUUCUGAACAGGAAUGUCAGUAAAUCCCAAAGAAGGUUAAAAAAUCCAACCAAGCACUAUUGUAUUACCCAUUCCAGGUUUCUCUCCCUAGUUUUUACCCUUCACCUCUGCACUCACUGAGUCAGGUGGUCACUACCCCAGAGAUCUCAGCUUUGCAGCUUUCCUUAAUUAGCAGGUAGCAGAGCAACACAUAAUUAGCCAUGAGUGUUGUCUGUUUUCAGCCAAAUGAUGCACCUGUAGAGGGUGCAGGGCAUUCACGUGGAGCAUAUGUCACACCAGCCACUCCAUGCUGGUAUUACGACCAUGCAGGCUCUUCCUGGGAGAGCUCACCAGGUUACCCAACACCUCAGCAGAGAGGUGUGAGACUCAGUGCAUCGUUUUGAUAGCCAGCCUCUAAUUUCAUGGGCUGGAUCUGGCAUGGAGGUGCCUGGGCUGUAAAUCGCAGACUGGGUGAAGUGCUAUAUCGGAGGACUCAGACUUUAUGUCAACCAUCACUCCCCUGAGCCCAGUAGCAACGCUCAAAACAUUGGCAGGAAACCCAUUGCUAAGGGUGCAUCCUGCAACUGAAAUUAGCAGUGGUGGCUGAUGCAAAACACUUGCUUGAUUUCAUGUCAAGACCCAGGAGUGGGAAAUACUACCUUCUACCACAGCUUGAGCACAGUUAUGUCAAAACAAAACUGUUUCAUGUCCAUGCAACAGGGCCUCAUGUGGUUUCCUUGGCUACAACACAACACAGGAGUCGCUGCCCUGCUGGAAGUCUCAGCCACAGAGGAAAACUGAGAACACAAGGUAUCCAAGCCACCAGUUCCCAUGGACACUGCUGCUGCUCAGGCAGGGAACUUCUCUUCAUGGCUGACCUGGCAAACACAGCCCCAGCAUUGCAAAGCCAUGAUCUUUUUCAGGAAGGAAAACACCUCACCUGGGGACAAAUAAGUGUCAAAGUACAACAGUUCUCCAUGGGCAGAAUUUGUUGUUACCACUCUCCUGCCAAAAGCCCACUCAGCCCUGUCCAGAGAAGGUCAGCAGGGAGGGAAAGCUGUCCUGCAUGUUCUCUGUCAGCAGCAAAAUGGACAGGCAUCAGCAGUGACCAGGAAGGCAAGUGUUUAUUCUGCAGUUGGAAAGGAGAUUCAUCUGCUGUGGCUGUUUCAGCAAACCCUUGGAAUUGCCAGCAGCAAAUGUAA
rnacentral:lncRNA from 1 species